GUUUGUCCUGGCUCAGAAUCAACGCUGGCGGCGUGCCUAACACAUGCAAGUCGAGCGAGAAAAGGGGAGCAAUCCCCUGAGUAAAGCGGCGCACGGGUGAGUAACACGUGGGUAAUCUACCCUGGAGUGGGGAAUAACACCGGGAAACCGGUGCUAAUACCGCAUACGAUCACGAUGUCUGCGGACGUUGUGAUGAAAGGAGCAAUUCGCUCCAGGAGGAGCCCGCGGCUGAUUAGCUAGUUGGUGAGGUAAUGGCUCACCAAGGCUUCGAUCAGUAUCCGGUCUGAGAGGACGGUCGGACACACUGGAACUGAGACACGGUCCAGACUCCUACGGGAGGCAGCAGUGGGGAAUUUUUCGCAAUGGGGGCAACCCUGACGAAGCAACGCCGCGUGGAUGAUGAAGUAUCUCGGUACGUAAAAUCCUUUCGACAGGGAAGAAACCGCAAGGUUGACGGUACCUGUAGAAGAAGCCCCGGCUAACUCCGUGCCAGCAGCCGCGGUAAUACGGGGGGGGCAAGCGUUGUUCGGAAUUACUGGGCGUAAAGGGCGCGUAGGCGGCCUGCUAAGUUGGAUGUGAAAACUCUGGGCUUAACCCAGAGCCUGCAUUCAAAACUGACAGGCUAGAGUUCUGGAGGGGAUAGCGGAAUUCCUGGUGUAGCGGUGAAAUGCGUAGAUAUCACGAGGAACACCGGGUGGCGAAGCGGCUAUCUGGACAGAGUCUGACGCUGAGCGCGAAAGCUAGGGAGCAAACAGAUAGAUACCCUGGUAGUCU
rnacentral:rRNA from 1 species